UACGGAGGGUGCAAGCGUUAAUCGGAAUUACUGGGCGUAAAGCGUGCGCAGGCGGUUUGUUAAGUCUGUUGUGAAAUCCCCGAGCUCAACUUGGGAAUUGCAAUGGAUACUGGCAGGCUGGAGUAUGGUAGAGGAAGGUGGAAUUCACGGUGUAGCAGUGAAAUGCGUAGAGAUCGGGAGGAACACCAGUGGCGAAGGCGGCCUUCUGGACCAAUACUGACGCUCAUGCACGAAAGCGUGGGGAGCAAACAGG
rnacentral:rRNA from 1 species